CCGAUGAGGUGGAAACGGACAGAGCUGGCGUAUCUGGCCUGCAUUCAGCCGCCGCGCGUCGGGCCCCGGUUUGCCGCACUCCAGAUUGGGAAGGUGGCUGGGCUGCUGGCGUGUCGGUGGUGCAUUUGCAGGUGGAGUGCGCCGAGGCGCUCGGCUCAGCGGCAUGAGCUCGGCUUUGAGGCCAACCGCGCAAGCGGUCUGGUACCCGGGUCGGGGGAGUGUUGUUUGGGCUGAGUGUUCGCUUGGGCACUGGUUUCGAGCCCGGGUGGGUGCCGAGCUGGCGGUGGGCGGCGGUCGCGUGCGACACGUGUCUUCAGUCAGUUCGGUCCUGCUCGAGCUCUCGCGUGUCCGGCCUCGGUGUAAAAGCCGGUCAUCUGUCCGACCCGUCUUGAAACACGGACCAAGGAGUUUAGCGUGUGCGCGAGUCAUUGGGCGUUGAAAACCCAAAGGCGCAAUGAAAGUGAAGGUCUGCCUUGUGCAGCUGAUGUGUGAUCCUGGGCGCCGCGGUGCCCGGGCGCAACAUAGUCCCGUCCCGACUGCAUGCAGUGGGGCGGAGACAGAGCGUACGCGCUGAG
rnacentral:rRNA from 1 species